rnacentral:tRNA from 1 species
GUUUUUAUAGUUGAAUAGACAACGGUGAUUUUUCAAGUCAUUAGUCCUGGUUAGAACCCUGGUAGAAACC